CCCCCGCUAAUUUGGAACUCAGGGCUCUCAAUCUCCAUCUGCUGUGUUGGUGACAAUUGAGAGUCCCUGCUUAAGCUUGAAUAAACGACCCUCAUGUGCUUACAUCGGAAAUGGCCUCCUGGUGGUCUUUGGGACCUUGCAAUCUGGGCACAACACCAGCCACAGUAAGAUACUACUUUACUCCAACUAGAAGAGCUAUUGCCAAGAAGACAAUAGUAAAUGCUGAUCAAGAUAUAGAGAAAAGGGCAGCCUUCUAUGCUGUUGUUAGAAAUGUAAACUAGUACAACCACUGAGGAGAACAGAUUGAGGUUCCUCAAAAAAUUAAAAGUAGAGUUACCUUAUGACCCAGCGAUCCCACUACUGAGUAUAUAUCUGUGGAGAACACUUUGAAAUAAGAUGGAAUUGUAUAACCCUAAGUGUGCUGUAACCCUAAGUGUGCUGUAACCCUAAAGUGUGCUGUGACUUUAAGAGCGCUGUAACCUAAGUAUGACAUAAUCAUAAGAGUGAUGAAAGUAGAAUCUUAAGUGGUAUGGAACUGAUAAGGGUGUGCCCUGAACUGGACAAGGAGUACCCCGAACUGGACAGGGUGCGCCCUGAAAUGGACAGUGUGAUAAGUCUGAACCAAUACCACAAGCGCCCAGUUAGAAUAGUAUAAAAGGAGCUGAAGACCCCAAGCAAGUCGACGAUCCAUCCACCGACCAGUCGACCAGUCAAUCUGCUGAUCUGAUUACCAACCGAGACAUCUGCACACCUGAUCCCACUGGAAGGAGCGUCUCCGCCGACCAGACGGGACCAGAGGAUGAGGCAAGCAGAGAGACGGAUAGCCUAACUCCGACUCGACGCCCUUCUUCUACGGAUCGGACCCUCUGACCCUACGGGAGGAAACGUCGCGCUCCCAUAAGGACUUGCGCAGUACAGGUACAGGGACGUGGUAAUUGGCAGACUUAAUAUUGUGUGGUAAUUGUAUUGAAGUGAAUUAUGAUAAGUGUGUGAACUGCCGUCCGUGUCCGAGUCCUCUUUACCCACGGUACCUGCUCACGACAAUAGCCAAAGGGAAUGAAAUCAGUAUGUAGAAAAGGCAUUUUCCCUCCAUGUUUAUUGUACCACCAUUUGCAAGAGCCACAAAGUGGAAACAACUGCAGAGUCCAACAGAUAAUGCAUAAGAAAAAGUGGUAUCACGAUGGUAUGUGAUUCAGCUAUAAAGCAUUAAAUUCUGCCAUUUAUGACAACGUGGAUGGAGUGGGAGAUCAUUUUGCUAAGCCAAGCACAGGUAGAAAAGUACUAUGUGAUCUUAUUCAUAUGUGGAAGCUAAAAAUGCUGACCUCACAGGAACAUAGGGAAAUGGCUAGAGGCAGCCAAGAGUGGAGGAGGGAGGAGUGGCAAAGGCUGGCCCACAAGAACUGAGGGACAGUUGUACAAAAGUAAGAGCUCUGCUAUGCCACUGCACAGAAGAGUUACUAUGGGAGACAUUCAUCUGCUGAACACUUUGCUUUCCAAGUGAUGGGUGCAGUUACUGUUCCUCCUGUUGCCUCCUGCAGAGGCACAGUCUUCUAUCAAAGUCCCUAUUUCCUGGACAGGAUUCCAGAUGCUGCAGCCUGUUUGACUCCCAGGAUAUAAUCCAGGAAAGAAUGGUGGGAGACUUGAUGAAUAUGAACAAGAAGGGUGAACCCUAGAAGGAAAGUCCUCAACAGGUGAGAAGGACAAUGACUGGUGCACACGCAGAGAGCACAGCCUGAGAAAGGGCUCUCAACAACAGAGACAAAGGCACAAAACAUUUCUUCUCCCAGCACUGAAGAGUUCUGCAGGAGACUGGCCACAUCUGUAAUGAGGGCAUCCCGGACGGCUUGGAGCUGAGCCAGGCUCUCCAGCCAUAGGAGGGGAGGCCAGAAGGCCAAGAUGCAGAAGGUGCAGCACUGAUGAGCUGACUCCAGCAGCUCAAAGUCCACAGUCAGCUGGCUCCAAAGCAGGGAACAUCACAGAGGAGAAACAGUCCAUGGCAAAGCAGGGCAGACAGAAGGCAGCAAAGCAGUGAAGCAACAGCAGCAGGCCAAGUAGCAACCAAAGUAGCAAGUGAUGACAGCAGCCCGGAACCACUGAGUGUGCAAGAAUUUUAGGAGACAAAGCCUGUGAAGAGCUUCGUCCCAUCCCUGGCCCAGGAUGAACAUUCAUCAGAGCUGACACUGAUGAGAAUUUGGGCUCGGCCAAGGUCCUGCAUGUCUGAGGCAGCUCCUCGAGUGUGACUUGGGGCUCCUGGAGGCUCCCACGGUUCUGCAGUGAAGACUGGAGAGCAGCAGGCAUCUUAGCUCUCAAAUGUAGCACCACUUAAGAGAUGGGUUUGAUUUCCCUGAAACUGUUUGGACCUAUUUGUAUAAAAUUUUAUAUGGAAUAGAUAAUGUGAGAUUUUUAAGUAAUUAUUUUGUGGUGACUUAAAAAAUUAGUUUUCAAAUAGAGAUGUAAAAGUUUUGAAAAUAUAUUUGUGUUAAUUUGGAAUCCAUAUUAAAAAUUAAUAAAAAAUAUGGAGAGUAAUAUAAUUCUUGUUAAAUUUAUG
rnacentral:lncRNA from 1 species